AAUGGUUCCUCUGACCACUUUUGAUUUAUUCCAUCUCUGGUUUCCAUGGAGCGUCAUAAAAGGAUCUAUGUGUGUGUCAUGAGAGUGGAGAAAGAGAAGUGGCCGGGAGCUAACAGGGGAAGAAGCAUCCGCCUGCUCAAUAGCAGCUCUGAGGCAGAGAUGGAAGAUUGUGGAUCUGCUGGGACGAGGUUAUCUCAGAAGCCAAACCAGAAAGAAUAUCCCAACCCAGGACUCCACUAUGCGAUAAUGGAGGGAACAGAGACCUUAAAGUCAGGCAGUUUGGGGUUCAUGUCCUUGCUUUGCCACUUCUUUCCUGUGUAGCCUCAGCUGCCCUUAAAUUUACAAGGAAACAUUCCUUCUAGGAGUCUCUGGAUAUUGGACUAAGAUUGUCACACACCAUUAACACAGUCCAAUUCUGCAACCUCACUGAUUGGAAAACCUGAUUCAAUAUUGCAAGCUUGUUUUUGGCAACUGCACCAGCAUCUUCCCAAAAUUCCCCUAUUAGAGUUGCCACUGACAGAUGGUCUGAGAUGGGCCCAGGGAGGCUGUUGACAGAUAUCUUGAGAUGGAUCUUAUUCCAUUGACAUAUCUGAAGAAUGUCCCGUGGGAAAUGUCUUCACGGGCCUGGAGGCUGACAGAACAAGACGGAAACCCUUCAAGAGAAUUGCCAAUAAAGAGACUGAAAAUGGGCACUACCUUCUGGAGGUAAUUUGGCAAUAUGUAUUGAGCCUUAAAACAUUCAUACCCUUUGGGCUUCCCUGGUGGUGCAGUGGUUAAGAAUC